rnacentral:rRNA from 1 species
AUCAUGGCUCAGAUUGAACGCUGGCGGCAGGCCUAACACAUGCAAGUCGAGCGGUUGAAGGGAGCUUGCUCCUGAUUCAGCGGUCGGACGGGUGAGUAAUGCCUAGGAAUCUGCCUAUUAGUGGGGGACAACGUUUCGAAAGGAACGCUAAUACCGCAUACGUCCUACGGGAGAAAGCAGGGGACCUUCGGGCCUUGCGCUAAUAGAUGAGCCUAGGUCGGAUUAGCUAGUUGGUGGGGUAAAGGCUCACCAAGGCGACGAUCCGUAACUGGUCUGAGAGGAUGAUCAGUCACACUGGAACUGAGACACGGUCCAGACUCCUACGGGAGGCAGCAGUGGGGAAUAUUGGACAAUGGGCGAAAGCCUGAUCCAGCCAUGCCGCGUGUGUGAAGAAGGUCUUCGGAUUGUAAAGCACUUUAAGUUGGGAGGAAGGGUUGUAGAUUAAUACUCUGCAAUUUUGACGUUACCGACAGAAUAAGCACCGGCUAACUCUGUGCCAGCAGCCGCGGUAAUACAGAGGGUGCAAGCGUUAAUCGGAAUUACUGGGCGUAAAGCGCGCGUAGGUGGUUUGUUAAGUUGGAUGUGAAAGCCCCGGGCUCAACCUGGGAACUGCAUCCAAAACUGGCAAGCUAGAGUACGGUAGAGGGUGGUGGAAUUUCCUGUGUAGCGGUGAAAUGCGUAGAUAUAGGAAGGAACACCAGUGGCGAAGGCGACCACCUGGACUGAUACUGACACUGAGGUGCGAAAGCGUGGGGAGCAAACAGGAUUAGAUACCCUGGUAGUCCACGCCGUAAACGAUGUCAACUAGCCGUUGGAAUCCUUGAGAUUUUAGUGGCGCAGCUAACGCAUUA